rnacentral:rRNA from 1 species
GUGGGGAAUUUUGGACAAUGGGCGCAAGCCUGAUCCAGCAAUGCCGCGUGCAGGAAGAAGGCCUUCGGGUUGUAAACUGCUUUUGUACGGAACGAAACGGUCCUGGUUAAUACCUGGGGCUAAUGACGGUACCGUAAGAAUAAGCACCGGCUAACUACGUGCCAGCAGCCGCGGUAAUACGUAGGGUGCAAGCGUUAAUCGGAAUUACUGGGCGUAAAGCGUGCGCAGGCGGUUUUGUAAGACAGUGGUGAAAUCCCCGGGCUCAACCUGGGAACUGCCAUUGUGACUGCAAAGCUAGAGUGCGGCAGAGGGGGAUGGAAUUCCGCGUGUAGCAGUGAAAUGCGUAGAUAUGCGGAGGAACACCGAUGGCGAAGGCAAUCCCCUGGGCGUGCACUGACGCUCAUGCACGAAAGCGUGGGGAGCAAACAGGAUUAGAUACCCGUGUAGUCC